UACGGAGGGUGCAAGCGUUAUCCGGAUUUACUGGGUUUAAAGGGUGCGUAGGUGGGUCUGUAAGUCAGUGGUGAAAUCUCCGAGCUUAACUCGGAAACUGCCAUUGAUACUAUAGAUCUUGAAUUAUCUGGAGGUAAGCGGAAUAUGUCAUGUAGCGGUGAAAUGCUUAGAUAUGACAUAGAACACCAAUUGCGAAGGCAGCUUACUACGGAUUUAUUGACACUGAGGCACGAAAGCGUGGGGAUCAAACAGG
rnacentral:rRNA from 1 species